GGAUAGCUCAGUUGGUUAGAGCAUGGUGUUAUUGCCAAGGUUGCAGGUUUGAUCCCCGUAUGGGACCG